rnacentral:rRNA from 1 species
AUGAAGAUACCUCUUAAGAAUAAAAUCUUUGCAUGGUAUCUUCGUCGCAGAGUCAUUCUUACUAAAUAUAACCUUAUUAAGAGGAAUUGGCAUGGAAGCCCACAAUGUGUAUUCUGUCACCAUGAGGAGACAAUAAAACAUUUAUUCUUCCAAUGCAAAUUGGCUCAUUCUAUAUGGUCAGUCAUCCAAAUAGCUUCUGGCUUGUAUCAUCCCUGUAGUGUUGCUAUUGUAUUUGGCAACUAG